UACGGAGGGAGCUAGCGUUGUUCGGAAUUACUGGGCGUAAAGCGCGCGUAGGCGGCGAACCAAGUCAGGGGUGAAAUCCCGGGGCUCAACCCCGGAACUGCCUUUGAAACUAGUUUGCUAGAAUCUUGGAGAGGUCAGUGGAAUUCCGAGUGUAGAGGUGAAAUUCGUAGAUAUUCGGAAGAACACCAGUGGCGAAGGCGACUGACUGGACAAGUAUUGACGCUGAGGUGCGAAAGCGUGGGGAGCAAAC
rnacentral:rRNA from 1 species